UACGUAGGGUGCGAGCGUUAAUCGGAAUUACUGGGCGUAAAGCGUGCGCAGGCGGUUUUGUAAGCCAGAUGUGAAAUCCCCGGGCUUAACCUGGGAAUGGCAUUUGGGACUGCAAGGCUUGAGUGCGGCAGAGGAGACUGGAAUUCCUGGUGUAGCAGUGAAAUGCGCAGAUAUCAGGAGGAACACCGGUGGCGAAGGCGGUUCUCUGGGCAUGUCCUGACGCUGAGGAGCGAAAGCAUGGGGAGCGAACAGGA
rnacentral:rRNA from 1 species